GCGACAACCUUCCCAGUCUCAACGUCAACAUGGUGAACACCAUUGGAAUGCAGAGCCUCUCCUGGGCUCAUCAGUAGCAUGUUAGUCUCGCCGCGCAUCAGCAGUGCCUUCUUCGGCGUCGAAUAAGCGCUCCCACUGCCGCCACGGCCUCCCGAGAUCUUCACCGACGCGCCCUUCCCGUGCAAGCCGUGGCGGAAGUUCUUGACCACCUGUAUCCCGGCGCCGCCGACUAAGAAGCUGUUGUCAAGCGCCCCAAGCGCGAGGCUCUGGAUGCUGUCGCCGUCGCCGGCCUCCUCCUCGAACUCCUUAAGCAGGUCCUUCCCUGGUGCUGCGGCGGGAGGGGUGAGGCUUUCCUCCGCGUCGGCCCAAACAGUGUCGUCGGCCUCGGCAGGCCGCGCCCACGCGGCGAAGUCGGCGCCGAACACCUCCUUCCGCCCUUCGUCCGUGGCCUCCACUCCGUACGUGUUCUCGAAAAGACAGCGCUCGUACUCCACCCUGAACCGGCGCAAUUCGGCGUCGGUGGGUAGUCGCAGAGCCCAUACGGACCCGCUCGCGGCGAAGUCCGCCCGGCGCUGCGCGGGGAUCGUCUUCAGCUGGAGCGCCGAGUCCACGGGCGCGGAGACCCGCGGCCCCGGCCCAACCUCUAGGAACCACCUGGGGGAGGAGGCGUCGUCGCUCGACUGGUCGACGAAUGCGUAGGUCGCGCGGCGCUCGGCGGGCACCCAGCGCGCGGAAGGCGAGGCCCCGCCGACGUGGAGGUAGAGCUUGGCGGCGGUAGGUCUCUGGUACUUGAGAUCCAGCGACCUGAGCUUGGCGUCGAUGGCCUCAAGCGAGGAAGGUGUGGCGGUGCGGAGGAGGUCGUCGUCGCGCUGCCCCGCGCUCGCUGCGGCCUCCGCGAUGGGUGAUCGGGCGUCAUAGUCGUCCUCGAAUUCCUCCUCUUCGUCGGAGGAGGUGAGAUCGACGUCCUCGCGGCUGUGGGAGCCGCCCAUGACGGUUGCGGUGGAGGGGAAUUUAACUCCGGAAUUGCGAGCCGGCGAUCCGGGGCGCGGUGCGGGAAAGGAGAUCGUGAAUUGGUGAUGGAGGCGGGGAAAGUGAGGUCGGAGCGGCGGGGAGCGUGUAUUUGUACGCUGCGGGCCGGGGAUUGCUGAUGAGGGCAGGGGAUGGUCGGUGCGUGUGGCGGACGCGACGCGCUCCACGCGCCGGGGACGGCGAGGCCGAGCAGGUUCCUUCGUGAAGGGGGCGAACUACGAUGAUUGGUGUUGAGUUUGAUGAGAGAGAGGUGACUAGGAAAGCCCAUAGUGGGUGUUGGGCCCGGACUUGGAGAAAGCAGGGUUGCUAAUGGGCAUAUGGCCCGAGGAGCCAAAAGGCCCACGCGAGUGUACGACUCAACUCACACAAUCAGCCCCAUAUAUGGCCCGGCCUCCUACUCCUACGGUCCCACCCGGUCUCCAGAACAGACAACCCGUCCUUCUCCUUCCCAUCGGCUCCACACAACCAGAAGGUUCUUCGCUUCACUCUGCCCUGCGCCGCCGCCAACGCUGCAGCCGCAGUUGCCGCAGGCGGGAACUUGGACGUGCUACUCGCGACUGCUCUCAUCUGUUCCCGCGUAGGAUUCGUUCACAAUGGCCCGUGUGUAUGUCGGCAACUUGGAUGCACGCGUGACUUCCGGGGAACUCGAAGAUGAGUUCCGUGUGUUUGGAGUUCUGCGAAGUGUUUGGGUCGCACGCAAACCACCUGGUUUUGCAUUUAUUGAUUUUGACGACAGGAGGGAUGCAGAGGAUGCUAUUCGUGAUCUAGAUGGUAAGAAUGGAUGGAAAGUUGAACUAUCUCGUAGCACCAAUGGUCGUGGCAGUCGUGAUCGGCAUGGUGGAUCUGAGUCAAAGUGCUAUGAGUGUGGUGAGACUGGGCACUUUGCACGUGAAUGUCGUCUGCGCAUUGGCUCUGGAGGUCUAGGCAGUGGAAGACGUCGCAGCAGGAGCAGGAGCCGCAGUCGCAGCCCUAGAUACCGCAGGAGUCCGAGCUAUAAUAGAAGGAGCUAUAGCCCUCGUUAUCGUUCUCCAAGGCGCCGUACUCCUUCACCGGCUCGUGGACGCAGCUAUAGCAGGUCGCCAUAGUACAACUGUGACAAAUAUGCAUCUCCCUCGUUAACGGAGUAAUGAUGGCAGAUACUGGUGUAGCAGGAGCUUGGCCUGAAGCCCGUGCCUGAUUCUUCUCUGUGUGAGGACUUGGUUCUUGGUUUGGCUGUGGGGAACAAAUUUGGAACUGUCGUCAACUGCAUGACUUCAGUUCAGGCAUGUUCUGCUUAAACGACUCGGCCAACUACGGCUCUCAGUUGUAGUCUUCAUGGUUUUGUUCCUCCAUUCUUGGCACGUCCUUAUCUGCAAAUGAAUGUCAACCUUCCAUUACUAUCUGCCUGCGAUGUUUCAUCAUGAAAUUCUUCACCAAAGAUGCUACUUCGUCACAAAUUAGUAACAUUCUUUCCCCCAUAUAGUUGAUAUGGUUUGAGUGUACUGAGCACUAACAAUUGCAGCUCAUGAAAAUAAGGCCCUUGAUUUUUGUCAUAGAACAAGAGCGGCUAUUUUAAUUGCAGCACUCACAUGAAAAUAAAUCUACUCUGCAUGCCGGGGAUUGAGGCGACUGAAGUGUGAGCCUUCAGCUGCACGUAGUUGGCCAUCCAAGGAACCUAGUCAGGCUGAUUUCAGCAAGAGGCGCAGCCUACGACUGAACUUGGUUUUAUUUUUUGUGGUUUUGAUUCUUCACUUCUUCCUUGUGUUCUGCCUUCACUGCAUCUUAUUGGUAGUGGUCGAAUAAUGCUUCUGUAUGUGGUAAAUCAUUCUUGGUACAAUGGCUCUCUUUUUUCUGCUGAUCAAUGUAUGUAGGAAUUUCUGAUAGUCGCCGUUAAUUGUAGUAUAAAUAUGUUUCCUCUGCAAGAUAAUUGUAAUUAUAUGUGAAUACUCUCAGAAAACAUAGAUUUGAGGUAUAAUCUGCUCUUGGCAAA